rnacentral:lncRNA from 1 species
GAGGCAAUAUGGGAACCAAAGCAGUGGCAAUCAUUCAUUGUUGAGGUCAUCAAAAAGGAACCCAUUAUGAGGCCAGAGGAAAUCACGCAGUUGACCAGAUGGCCCGACAGGUAGCCAAAGAACCAGUGGGGCCCAUAGACAUAUUGCUCAUCCAACCUUUUGGCUACUUACUGCAACUGGCCACACACACUCAGGAGGAGGAGAACAAAAAUGCUCAACUAGGGGCAAUAAAACAGGACUCCAGGUGGUGGAAGUGACCAGAUGAGAGAAUCUGCCAACUCAAGCCCUGGACAGACAACUUCUUCAAAAGCUCCAUCACCUUACCCAUCUAGGGGAAUCCAAACUGAAGAACCUGUCUCUCCAAGCAUUACAGGAUAUCCAAAACCAUCUUCACGAUCAAAUCCACCAGACCAGGAGCAAUACCACUCCAUUUCCACCUCAUCAAUUCAAAUGAGGGGACUUGGUUUUGGUGUGCAAACAUCAGACAAAGAGCCUCAAGCCCCAUUGGAAAGUGCCUUAUCCUGUGGUCUUGAGGACUCCAUCAGCUCUCAAGGUCACUGGACUGACUGUAUGGAUUCAUCACUCCCAUGUCAAAUUGGCACCCAGAGAGGAUGACUCACAGCAUCCAGCACUACAAUGAUGGAAAGUCCUCAACAAGCCUGGGGACCAAAAGAUAAGACUGGGUUGGGAAAAAUAACUUGGCUGUUUGGUCUGAUUGUUAUGGGCUUAAUCUGGAAGGGUGGGAAACGCCGUAACCCUUAUGCUCCAUUAGAGGAGAUCUGGGAACUCAGGCUGACCUCUAACAGAAAGGUCCUUAGCCAAAUCACUAAAAGACCAGACCAGUCCAAGGUCACUUUCCAGAUAAGCUUAUGUAAUUUAGACUCAAGGGAAACCUACCAGCCACCAGAAACUCGUUAUGUCAAAAGGAGUUUCUCUCAGACAGGAUUAUCUGACCUAGGGAGCCUAGACUUCAGAAAUUG